rnacentral:rRNA from 1 species
UACAGAGGGUGCAAGCGUUAAUCGGAAUUACUGGGCGUAAAGCGCGCGUAGGUGGUUUGUUAAGUUGGAUGUGAAAUCCCCGGGCUCAACCUGGGAACUGCAUUCAAAACUGACUGACUAGAGUAUGGUAGAGGGUGGUGGAAUUUCCUGUGUAGCGGUGAAAUGCGUAGAUAUAGGAAGGAACACCAGUGGCGAAGGCGACCACCUGGACUAAUACUGACACUGAGGUGCGAAAGCGUGGGUAGCAAACAGG